AAGAAACCAACAGGGAUUGCCCCAGUAACGGCGAGUGAAGCGGCAACAGCUCAAAUUUGAAAUCUGGCCCCCAGGGCCCGAGUUGUAAUUUGCAGAGGAUGCUUUUGGCGCGGUGCCUUCCGAGUUCCCUGGAACGGGACGCCAUAGAGGGUGAGAGCCCCGUCUGGUCGGACGCCUAGCCUGUGUAAAGCUCCUUCGACGAGUCGAGUAGUUUGGGAAUGCUGCUCUAAAUGGGAGGUAUAUGUCUUCUAAAGCUAAAUACCGGCCAGAGACCGAUAGCGCACAAGUAGAGUGAUCGAAAGAUGAAAAGCACUUUGAAAAGAGGGUUAAAUAGUACGUGAAAUUGUUGAAAGGGAAGCGCUUGUGACCAGACUUGGGCCCGGUGGAUCAUCCAGCGUUCUCGCUGGUGCACUCCGCCGGGUUCAGGCCAGCAUCAGUUCGCCGCGGGGGAAAAAGGCUUCGGGAACGUGGCUCCUACGGGAGUGUUAUAGCCCGUUGCAUAAUACCCUGGGGCGGACUGAGGUUCGCGCUCCGCAAGGAUGCUGGCGUAAUGGUCAUCAGCGAC
rnacentral:rRNA from 1 species